rnacentral:rRNA from 2 species
UUAAGCGACUAAGCGUACACGGUGGAUGCCCUGGCAGUCAGAGGCGAUGAAGGACGUGCUAAUCUGCGAUAAGCGUCGGUAAGGUGAUAUGAACCGUUAUAACCGGCGAUUUCCGAAUGGGGAAACCCAGUGUGUUUCGACACACUAUCAUUAACUGAAUCCAUAGGUUAAUGAGGCGAACCGGGGGAACUGAAACAUCUAAGUACCCCGAGGAAAAGAAAUCAACCGAGAUUCCCCCAGUAGCGGCGAGCGAACGGGGAGCAGCCCAGAGCCUGAAUCAGUGUGUGUGUUAGUGGAAGCGUCUGGAAAGGCGCGCGAUACAGGGUGACAGCCCCGUACACAAAAAUGCACAUGCUGUGAGCUCGAUGAGUAGGGCGGGACACGUGGUAUCCUGUCUGAAUAUGGGGGGACCAUCCUCCAAGGCUAAAUACUCCUGACUGACCGAUAGUGAACCAGUACCGUGAGGGAAAGGCGAAAAGAACCCCGGCGAGGGGAGUGAAAAAGAACCUGAAACCGUGUACGUACAAGCAGUGGGAGCACGCUUAGGCGUGUGACUGCGUACCUUUUGUAUAAUGGGUCAGCGACUUAUAUUCUGUAGCAAGGUUAACCGAAUAGGGGAGCCGAAGGGAAACCGAGUCUUAACUGGGCGUUAAGUUGCAGGGUAUAGACCCGAAACCCGGUGAUCUAGCCAUGGGCAGGUUGAAGGUUGGGUAACACUAACUGGAGGACCGAACCGACUAAUGUUGAAAAAUUAGCGGAUGACUUGUGGCUGGGGGUGAAAGGCCAAUCAAACCGGGAGAUAGCUGGUUCUCCCCGAAAGCUAUUUAGGUAGCGCCUCGUGAAUUCAUCUCCGGGGGUAGAGCACUGUUUCGGCAAGGGGGUCAUCCCGACUUACCAACCCGAUGCAAACUGCGAAUACCGGAGAAUGUUAUCACGGGAGACACACGGCGGGUGCUAACGUCCGUCGUGAAGAGGGAAACAACCCAGACCGCCAGCUAAGGUCCCAAAGUCAUGGUUAAGUGGGAAACGAUGUGGGAAGGCCCAGACAGCCAGGAUGUUGGCUUAGAAGCAGCCAUCAUUUAAAGAAAGCGUAAUAGCUCACUGGUCGAGUCGGCCUGCGCGGAAGAUGUAACGGGGCUAAACCAUGCACCGAAGCUGCGGCAGCGACGCUUAUGCGUUGUUGGGUAGGGGAGCGUUCUGUAAGCCUGCGAAGGUGUGCUGUGAGGCAUGCUGGAGGUAUCAGAAGUGCGAAUGCUGACAUAAGUAACGAUAAAGCGGGUGAAAAGCCCGCUCGCCGGAAGACCAAGGGUUCCUGUCCAACGUUAAUCGGGGCAGGGUGAGUCGACCCCUAAGGCGAGGCCGAAAGGCGUAGUCGAUGGGAAACAGGUUAAUAUUCCUGUACUUGGUGUUACUGCGAAGGGGGGACGGAGAAGGCUAUGUUGGCCGGGCGACGGUUGUCCCGGUUUAAGCGUGUAGGCUGGUUUUCCAGGCAAAUCCGGAAAAUCAAGGCUGAGGCGUGAUGACGAGGCACUACGGUGCUGAAGCAACAAAUGCCCUGCUUCCAGGAAAAGCCUCUAAGCAUCAGGUAACAUCAAAUCGUACCCCAAACCGACACAGGUGGUCAGGUAGAGAAUACCAAGGCGCUUGAGAGAACUCGGGUGAAGGAACUAGGCAAAAUGGUGCCGUAACUUCGGGAGAAGGCACGCUGAUAUGUAGGUGAGGUCCCUCGCGGAUGGAGCUGAAAUCAGUCGAAGAUACCAGCUGGCUGCAACUGUUUAUUAAAAACACAGCACUGUGCAAACACGAAAGUGGACGUAUACGGUGUGACGCCUGCCCGGUGCCGGAAGGUUAAUUGAUGGGGUUAGCGCAAGCGAAGCUCUUGAUCGAAGCCCCGGUAAACGGCGGCCGUAACUAUAACGGUCCUAAGGUAGCGAAAUUCCUUGUCGGGU